ACGAUAUCUUCCGCACGAGGGCAUGACUGCUGGUAGUAGCCAACCACGAGUCCUUUGGUGGGUGGGCUAGGGAUGGGCGGUGGAGGGCUAGGUGUGGUCGGGGUGUAUGGGGGCGGAGGACUUGGGGUAGCUGGUGUGGGCGGUGGAGGGCUAGGUGUGGUCGGGAUGUAUGGCGGCGGAGGACUUGGGGUAGCUGGGGUGGGCGGUGGAGGACUAGGUGUGGUCGGGGUGUAUGGUGGCGGAGGACUAGGUGUAGUCGGGGUGUACGGCGGCGGGGGACUAGUUAUGCUCGGUAUGGACGGAACAGGGGUGGG
rnacentral:lncRNA from 1 species